rnacentral:rRNA from 1 species
CCAGACUCCUACGGGAGGCAGCAGUGGGGAAUAUUGGGCAAUGGGCGCAAGCCUGACCCAGCAACGCCGCGUGAAGGAAGAAGGCUUUCGGGUUGUAAACUUCUUUUCUCAGGGACGAAGAAAGUGACGGUACCUGGGGAAUAAGCCACGGCUAACUACGUGCCAGCAGCCGCGGUAAUACGGAGGAUGCGAGCGUUAUCCGGAUUUAUUGGGUUUAAAGGGUGCGUAGGCGGAAUGCCAAGUCAGCGGUAAACUCGGGGGGCUCACCCUGGCGCCGCCGUUGAAACUGGCGUUCUUGAGUGGGCGAGAAGUAUGCGGAAUGCGUGGUGGAGCGGUGAAAUGCAUAGAUAUCACGCAGAACUCCGAUUGCGGAGGCAGCAUACCGGCGCCCAACUGACGCUGAAGCACGAAAGCGUGGGUAUCGAACAGGAUUAGAUACCCUAGUAA